rnacentral:piRNA from 1 species
UGAGAGCUGAGGAGACAAUGGUACGACU